CUUAGCCUCUGUGUCUUUUGCACAGUUUGAACGUUGAGGAAAUCCAUGAGAACCUCCACACAUGGGUGCUGAGAGGCAGUGCUGGGAUCUCACGCGUCAGGCUGACUUCAGGUUCAGGCCGUCCUAUUGAAAACCUGCUAGAGUCUCUGAGAGACGUCCACGUGCAGAGGUUUGGGAUCUUACAGUUAACGAAUCAUGCCUAAUUCCCCAGCCAGCUUUCCCAUGCCCUAAUCUCCUAUCUUGAAUACUGUUUAUCAAAGUUUCCUUCCCUGAAUUGUGCUUUUGAUGUCAAAUGAAGGACAGUCCUGGAUCUCAAGAUCUCAAAGAUUUCUCCCACUUUCAAACAUUCCAUAGAUUUAAACCCUUGCAUGGUGUUGAUUUAAUAUUUAUACAAAGUAUGAUAUAAGUAUCUAUUUUUCUCCUCCUCCUCAUUUGUCUUCCUCCCUCCUUCUCCCCUUCCUUUCCCUCUGCCCUCUUCACCUUCUUACCAAUGAAUAUCCAAUGAAUCCAGUACCAUCUGUUGAAAAAGUUACCUUUCCUUUAAUGUGUUGCUUUCAGUCUUGGUCAGCAAUCAGUUGGGUAUAUUUGUUUGGGCCUAUUUCUGGGUCUGGUGCAUUAAUAAGUAUGUCCAUUCCUCUAUCAAUAACACAGCUUUGAUUAUUAGAAUUGUAUAACAUAUUGUUAAAUUCAGUAGAGUUCCAUUCAAUUUACUCUGUGUCUUUUGGAAAUAUUUAAAAUAUUUUCAGCAGUAACUUCCUCAAGUACUUUCUUUGCCCUUUGUUCUUCUUUUGUCCUUCUAAUACAAUUAAGACACAAAUGUUAGAUUAGUUAUAGUCCCUCAAAUACUCGGAGCUCUGUUCAUUUUUUUUUUUUUUUUCUCAUACUUUUCUCUUUCCUCAGGUAGGGUAAUUGCUAUUGUUCAGUAUUCCAGUUGACUGAUUCUUUCCCCUUGUCUCCUCCACCCUACUGUUGGUACCAUGUCAGCUAUCUAUUGUGGUUUUUAUUUUGUUUUGGGGGGCUUUUUCGUAUUAAGUUCUAAAAUUUCCAUUUGUUUUGCAUUUUUUACCAUUUUUGAUGAAGUAUCCUAUUUUUUCAUUUAUUUCAAGUGUGUUUGUAAUUACGUGUUGAAACAUUUUUAUAGUAACUGCUUUAAAAUCAUUAUCUACUACUUUUUUAUUUAAAAGGAAAAAAGCUAUGGAAACAAUGAUAUAAAAUUUCACAAUGGGAAUUUUAAUAACUUUAUCAUCUCAGUAUUUGUGUCCAUAAUUUUCUUUCAAAGUUCAAUUUUAGUUGUGAUGAAAGUAACAUUAAAACAUGAAUGUUGGGUAUUAUGAGUUUUUGGGUCUUUAAGACUUAUUUGCAAGGGAAAUAGAGACUUUCAUGUUAGUAUCAACAGGUGGUGGUGGAUGUCCAGGCCCAGCCUGGUAUCUGUUGAGACUGGAAAGGAGGGAGACCAACUCUUCCUAGAUAGUGGUGAGGUGAGGUUCUGUCUACCCUGGAGUUUCUCCUGUGAUAUUAAACUGGCCAAAACGGUAGGAUUUAUUCUUUGCUGCCUUCUCUUUGUCCUCCAUCAGAUGGUGUUGCAUUGCCUCUGGCUGCAUUAACUGACAGAGUCUCAGCAGGGAAAGGAAAGGCACCACCUAACUGAGGGGUGGGACCAUAAAUCCUGGAUCCUCCCGAGGUCACCACUGAUGCCGUCUUGAGCAAAGGUGCUUUAUUUCCACUCAGCUGGGAUGAGCUUUCAGCUUCUACCCAUUUCCCACUGUGCCAGCCAGGAGAGUGGACUAGGGCUCCUCCUCGCGGCAUCCCAGUUAAGAAGGCAUCACUCACACCUCUUCUUGGCCCCUGGAAGGGCAAAUUAUUGUUAUUUUUCCUCUGAUGCUUUGAUGGAGCAGACAAGUUAUAAUCUAAAAGGUAGUCUGCCCUUUUUCUUGUCUUUUUCCUUUGUUGGAGUUGGAUUGGUUGAUUGACUGAUUUUUUUGUUUGUUUGUUUGUUUAUUGUCUGAACAUAUUGAUGGAUGUGGGCUUCUGACUUCACUUCCAAAAUUGGGUAGAUGAAGCUAACAAGAAAACCUGAGGAAUAACACCGGAGUGAUUCCUAAGUCCUGAGGUUCUUAGCCAUUAUUUCUUCUUCUCUCCAGUUUUCAGUUUAUUUUGCAUAGCUCAGCGGACCUCAGAUGCUCUGUUACUCUGGAUUUGAAAAAUAAGCCCCUGGCUUCCACAUCAUCGCCAUCAGAAGUGGAGAGGACACUGCAGAGCUCCACAGACUACUGGAGAGGUGAAUGUGCAGAGAGGAACUCAGCUGAAGCCUUAAUUAGCUGAAACUUAAGCCUGUAAUUCCUAGAGAAAUGAGUGUUUGGGUCGUAAAAGUGGGAUGUGAACAAUUGUGCGCACACUUCUGUGCCAUUUUUCUUACAGGUUCUCAUUUUGUUAUUUAAAAAGAUAUCUACUGUGUUUGAGCAACGAGUACUGUGAUAAUCAUGCAGACAAUUUCCAAAAGUACCAUCGAUUGGUUGAAAUAUGGAAGGCAUUAUAAGAAAUAAAACCAUGAUUAAUUGGCCCGACAUGGUGAUGCGUGACUCAGGAGGCUGAGGCAGGAGGAUCUCUGCAAGUUUGAGGCCAGUCUGAACUGCAUAGUAAAACCCUGUCUCAAAAAGUAGGUUUACUAUUACCCACACUUUAUCAGAUGAAAAAAGUGGGGAAGCUGAGUUUAAGAAAACCAAAAGUCUGAUCCAGAUGAUACCAUUGAAGCCAAAUAUUCUACAAGUGCAUCAGCAGAUUCAAACCUUUUCUGUUAUUUUCUAUGAUGACUCCACUUCAGAAAUUUCCAUCGUAGACAAUUCUAGCAUCCAUGCUGAUACUAUACAUGACCUUCCUUUCGUUUUUUUCAGUGUGACUUGUAAGCAUAAGGGAAUGACAUCUGUCACUUCAGUCAUUUCAAAAGAGGCUGAAAUAUCCCCAGGGAGCUGUCAGAACAAUCAACCCCUCCUUCAGGAAAUGAGAGGAAAUGCCAACCCAAUGGAAAUUUAUUCAUUCCAUGUUUGAAGGCUGCUGAAAUAACAAAAGAUCUUGACAGGCAAACCUAUCUUAUACAAAGAAACUCACGUUGGGGCAGGGAAUGCCAUUCCAGCUAGCACCAAGGAGUACUUUGUUGAUAGCAUUCUCAGAGAAGGAAAAAGGCAACGUAGGAAACACAAAAUAAUAUAUGUGGCAAUAAAAGUUUUCCUUAUCCUGAUUCCUUGAAGGAAAUCUCCUCAAAGUAGGCCUUGGAGACAAGCAGGUCAACAGUUUCUGCGUCAGAGCAAAUGCUUUAUCAAAAUUACAUUGUGUUGGGAAAUCCCUCUGCUCUGGUUCCAUGAGUUACAAUAAGGUCUGCUGCAAGAGCACAGCCACUCCCAAGAUGAGGACAGAUAGCGAUCUUCACGUCUCAGAGCUGCAGGAAAACUCAGGAUUGAAACUCUUAGUCAUUUUCCAUAGAAACAUUUUCUGUGCUGACCCUGAGAUAAUGUUCAAGACCUUCCUUUAGUCAAGGUGGCGCUUCCAGCUGGGUGAGGGAAGAACAUUUGUCUUUUCAUUUCCUGUAUUACACUGUGGCUAUAGUCUCUGAAUGCUAAUGCUCUGUCCAUCCCUGAAAGGGGAUUUCUCCCUAUGUGUGAGUGUGUGUGUGUGUGUGUGUGGGGGGGGUGUUCAAUAGUAUUUUAUGUAUGAUAAGAGAGAAUAACACAGAUUUGUAAUUCUCCUCUGCCAGAGAAGAACAUAGACCCUUUACCCAAUUUUCUCAGCCUGUUUUCUUGGCAUAGUUUGUAUUUUGGUCUUCUUUUGAAAGUUCUUUCCAGUAUAUUUAAAAUAAAAUUAUAUUUGCCAAAAGCAAAAA